rnacentral:rRNA from 1 species
UACGUAGGGGGCAAGCGUUGUCCGGAAUCAUUGGGCGUAAAGCGCGUGUAGGCGGCCCGAUAAGUCCGCUGUGAAAGUCCAGGGCUCAACCCUGGAAUGCCGGUGGAUACUGUCGGGCUCGAGUCCGGAAGAGGCGAGUGGAAUUCCUGGUGUAGCGGUGAAAUGCGCAGAUAUCGGGAGGAACACCAGUAGCGAAGGCGGCUCGCUGGGCCACACCUGACGCUGAGACGCGAAAGCUAGGGGAGCGAACAGG